ACAUGCAAGUCGAACGGGUUUGGGGGCAACUCCAAACUAGUGGCAAACGGGUGAGUAAUGCAGAGGAACCUCCCUAACAGUAAGGAAUAAUUUUGGGAAACCAAAACUAAUACCAUAUAUUACCGACCUAGUCGGGAAAGAUACGUCGCUGUUAGAUGGGCCUCUGUCAGAUUAGCUAGUUGGUGAGGUAAAUGCUCACCAAGGCGAUGAUCUGUAGCUGGUCUGAGAGGAUGAUCAGCCACACUGGAACUGAGACACGGUCCAGACUCC
rnacentral:rRNA from 1 species